rnacentral:rRNA from 1 species
UACGUAGGGGGCGAGCGUUGUCCGGAGUUACUGGGCGUAAAGCGCUUGUAGGCGGUCCACCAAGUUUGGGGUGACAGUUGCCGACUUAAUCGGCAAAGUGCCUCAAAGACUGGCGGACUUGAGGGCCACAGAGGGACAUGGAACUCCGGGUGUAGCGGUGGAAUGCGUAGAGAUCCGGAAGAACACCAGUGGCGAAGGCGGCCCGCUGGGCAGUGGCUGACGCUGAGGCGCGACAGCGUGGGGAGCAAACAGG